CACGUAGGGGGCAAGCGUUGUCCGGAUUUAUUGGGCGUAAAGAGCGUGUAGGCGGCUUGGUAGGUCCGCUGUGAAAACUCGGGGGCUCAACCCCGAGAGGUCGGUGGAAACCAUCUGGCUAGAGUCCGGAAGAGGAGAGUGGAAUUCCCGGUGUAGCGGUGAAAUGCGCAGAUAUCGGGAAGAAUAUCCGUGGCGAAGGCGGCUCUCUGGACCGAUACUGACGCUGAGGCGCGAAAGCGUGGGGAGCAAACAGG
rnacentral:rRNA from 1 species